rnacentral:rRNA from 1 species
AUACGGAGGGUGCAAGCGUUACUCGGAAUCACUGGGCGUAAAGCGCGCGCAGGCGGCUAUUUAAGUUGGAUGUGAAAGCCUAUGGCUCAACCAUAGAACUGCAUCCAAAACUAUUUAGCUAGAGUGUGAGAGAGGAAGAUGGAAUUAGUUGUGUAGGGGUAAAAUCCGUAGAGAUAACUAGGAAUACCAAAAGCGAAGGCAAUCUUCUGGAACACUACUGACGCUGAGGCGCGAAAGCGUGGGGAGCAAACAGAAUUAGAAACCCUAGUAGUCC